rnacentral:misc_RNA from 1 species
GAUGAAGAACGUAGCGAAAUGCGAUAAGUAGUGUGAAUUGCAGAAUUCAGUGAAUCAUCGAAUCUUUGAACGCACAUUGCGCCCUUUGGUAUUCCUUAGGGCAUGCCUGUUCGAGCGUCAUUUAAACCUUCAAGCCCUGCUUGGUGUUGGGUGCCUGUCCCGCCCCCGCGCGUGGACUCACCUCAAAUCCAUUGGCGGCCCCCGCAAGGCCACGAGCGCAGCAGAAUCGCAAACUCGUGUGCCCGGCGGGCGGCUCCCAGAAGCUACACCCACCAUUUUGACCUCGGAUCAGGUAGGGAUACCCGCUGAACUUAAGCAUAUCAAUAAGCGGAGGA